rnacentral:rRNA from 1 species
CCGGCAAACGGGUGCGUAACACGUACGCAACUUACCCAUUACUGGUGAAUAGCCCAGGGAAACUUGGAUUAAUACACCAUAUUAUAUAGAGUAGGCAUCUACUUUAUAUCAAAGCUUCGGCGGUAAUGGAUGGGCGUGCGGUUGAUUAGAUAGUUGGCGGGGUAACGGCCCACCAAGUCUACGAUCAAUAGCUGAUGUGAGAGCAUGAUCAGCCACACGGGCACUGAGACACGGGCCCGACUCCUACGGGAGGCAGCAGUAAGGAAUAUUGGGCAAUGGACGCAAGUCUGACCCAGCCAUGCCGCGUGAAGGAUGACGGUCCUCUGGAUUGUAAACUUCUUUUAUCUGGGACGAAAACCACCCUUUCUAGGGUGCUUGACAGUACCAGGUGAAUAAGCACCGGCUAACUCCGUGCCAGCAGCCGCGGUAAUACGGAGGGUGCAAGCGUUAUCCGGAUUCACUGGGUUUAAAGGGUGCGUAGGCGGGCAGGUAAGUCAGUGGUGAAAUCUUCGAGCUUAACUCGGAAACUGCCGUUGAUACUAUCUGUCUUGAAUAUAGUGGAGGUAAGCGGAAUAUGUCAUGUAGCGGUGAAAUGCUUAGAUAUGACAUAGAACACCAAUUGCGAAGGCAGCUUGCUACACUAUUAUUGACGCUGAGGCACGAAAGCGUGGGGAUCAAACAGGAUUAGAUACCCUGGUAGUCCACGCCCUAAACGAUGAUUACUCGACAUCAGCGAUACACUGUUGGUGUCUAAGCUAAAGCAUUAAGUAAUCCACCUGGGAAGUACGAUCGCAAGAUUGAAACUCAAAGGAAUUGGCGGGGGUCCGCACAAGCGGU